rnacentral:rRNA from 1 species
CUGGUGAGUAACACGUGGGUGAUCUGCCCUGCACUCUGGGAUGAGCCUUGGAAACUGGGUCUAAUACCGGAUAGGACCAUGCUUUAGUGUGUGUGGUGGAAAGUUUUUUCGGUGUAGGAUGAGCCCGCGGCCUAUCAGCUUGUUGGUGGGGUAAUGGCCUACCAAGGCGGCGACGGGUAGCCGGACUGAGAGGUUGGUCGGCCACAUUGGGACUGAGAUACGGCCCAG